AGGCCCACACAGUCCAUGGCUGAUGAUGUCAGAUAUACAGGAAGGCCCACAGAGUCAAUGGCUGAUGAUGUCAGAUAUACAGGAAGGCCCACACAGUCCAUGGCUGAUGAUAUCAGAUAUACAGGAAGGCCCACACAGUCCAUGGCUGAUGAUGUCAGAUAUACAGGAAGGCCCACACAGUCCAUGGCUGAUGAUGUCAGAUAUACAGGAAGGCCCACACAGUCCAUGGCUGAUGAUAUCAGAUAUACAGGAAGGCCCACACAGCCCAU